rnacentral:rRNA from 1 species
AUUGAACGCUGGCGGCAGGCCUAACACAUGCAAGUCGAGCGGGGGAAGGGAGCUUGCUCCUGGAUUCAGCGGCGGACUGGUGAGUAAUGCCUAGGAAUCUGCCUGGGAGUGGGGGCUAACGUCCGGAAACGGGCGCUAAUACCGCAUACGUCCUGAGGGAGAAAGUGGGGGAUCUUAGGACCUCACGCUAUCAGAUGAACCUAGGUCGGCUUAGCUAGUUGGUGGGGUGAAGGCCUACCAAGGCGACGAUCCGUAACUGGUCUGAGAGGAUGAUCAGUCACACUGGAACUGAGACACGGUCCAGACUCCUACGGGAGGCAGCAGUGGGGAAUAUUGGACAAUGGGCGAAAGCCUGAUCCAGCCAUGCCGCGUGUGUGAAGAAGGUCUUCGGAUUGUAAAGCACUUUAAGUUGGGAGGAAGGGCAGUAAGUUAAUACCUUGCUGUUUUGCCGUUACCAACAGAAUAAGCACCGGCUAACUUCGUG